rnacentral:rRNA from 1 species
GGGACACUUCGGUGUCUAGCGGCGGACGGGUGAGUAACACGUGGGUAACCUGCCUUGUAGAGGGGGAUAGCCUUCCGAAAGGAAGAUUAAUACCGCAUAACAUACAUGCUUCGCAUGAAGUGUGUAUCAAAGGAGCAAUCCGCUACAAGAUGGACCCGCGGCGCAUUAGCUAGUUGGUGAGGUAACGGCUCACCAAGGCGACGAUGCGUAGCCGGCCUGAGAGGGUGAACGGCCACAUUGGAACUGAGACACGGUCCAGACUCCUACGGGAGGCAGCAGUGGGGAAUAUUGCACAAUGGGCGAAAGCCUGAUGCAGCAACGCCGCGUGAGUGAAGAAGGCCUUCGGGUUGUAAAGCUCUGUCUUUUGGGACGAUAAUGACGGUACCAGAGGAGGAAGCCACGGCUAACUACGUGCCAGCAGCCGCGGUAAUACGUAGGUGGCAAGCGUUGUCCGGAUUUACUGGGCGUAAAGAAUGCGUAGGCGGAUAUUUAAGUCAGAUGUGAAAGCCCCGGGCUUAACCUGGGAACUGCAUUUGAUACUGAUAAGCUAGAGUAUGGUAGAGGGGGGUAGAAUUCCUAGUGUAGCGGUGAAAUGCGUAGAUAUUAGGAGGAAUACCAGUGGCGAAGGCGGCCCCCUGGACCAAUACUGACGCUGAGGUACGAAAGCGUGGGUAGCAAACAGGAUUAGAUACCCUGGUAGUCCACGCCGUAAACGAUGUGAACUAGGGAUAGGGGGUGUUGAUCCCUCCUGUCCCGCAGCUAACGCAUUAAGUUCACCGCCUGGGGAGUACGGUCGCAAGA